rnacentral:rRNA from 1 species
GAUGAACGCUGGCGGCGUGCCUAAUACAUGCAAGUCGAGCGAACGGACGAGAAGCUUGCUUCUCUGAUGUUAGCGGUGGACGGGUGAGUAACACGUGGAUAACCUACCUAUAAGACUGGGAUAACUUCGGGAAACCGGAGCUAAUACCGGAUAAUAUUUUGAACCGCAUGGUUCAAAAGUGAAAGACGGUCUUGCUGUCACUUAUAGAUGGAUCCGCGCUGCAUUAGCUAGUUGGUAAGGUAACGGCUUACCAAGGCAACGAUGCAUAGCCGACCUGAGAGGGUGAUCGGCCACACUGGAACUGAGACACGGUCCAGACUCCUACGGGAGGCAGCAGUAGGGAAUCUUCCGCAAUGGGCGAAAGCCUGACGGAGCAACGCCGCGUGAGUGAUGAAGGUCUUCGGAUCGUAAAACUCUGUUAUUAGUGAAGAACAUAUGUGUAAGUAACUGUGCACAUCUUGACGGUACCUAAUCAGAAAGCCACGGCUAACUACGUG